GGGUAGGGGGCGCUCUGCUGGCACUAUUUCUUACCCCGGGAAAUUUGAAGUCGCCAUUUUACUGAAUAAAAGAGGAGGCGUUUUCUUGAACACAUGAUCAGCUCAUUGCUCCAAAGUCAUCCUACACAAAAAAAAAGUGGUGACCUCUCAUUUCUCAUUCAGAAGCCAACUAAAGAGACCAGGAUGAUCAAAAAUAACAUGUCUCUGCAGGACAAGUCAUCUCAAGAAGCUUUUAUUGCCAUUUUGACCUCAUAUAGCUGAUGCAGUACACUGCGAAGUUAAACAACAUUCUACACAAAGACACAGAGCUACAUAAGACUAACAUAAGAACACAGAACUAACGGCUUAAAAAGCUUUUAAAAAUUAACCUCAGUGACACAUGUGGACUGUGUGACCGUGUGAUGCACAGGAAUUUCUGCAGAUCACCAGAAAUGACCUCAGCAAUGCCAGUAUCCCAUUUCAGGUCUUCCUUUGCAUGAAGGGCUGGGACUCCAAACACUGCUCACCAAUCCCUGAAAACACAGCAGAAAAUUAUACUUAUCAAUGCUGCCUAAACAAUCAACAACCAUUCAAUCAAUCAAGAUAAUGUAAUUAGUAAUCAUCUUCACACCUGUGAUCUGUGUAGUUAUCAGUUGUGUGGUGCCUCACCUGUCUUUUCACUGAUACUGAACCUUCUCCACCACCACAAUCCUGUACAGGUGUGCCAGCCCUUGGUACAUGGACUCCAAUGACUUUUUACUUAGAAGUAAAUGUUACUUUCCUGGCCACCUUCUGGGUGUGGACUGAGCAGAAUGCCUGCUCAGAGGUUCCCUGUAGGAGCCUUUUAAUGCUUUCCUUAUGGUAUUGGUACUCAUGGAGGAGGCAGUCGGUAAGGUAGUGUGCAGACACAUCCGUCACAUACUCCCCAAAGGAGAAGUCCAAGUCUCUUUUCUAGUGAAUCCAGUGAUGCUCCUCUGACCAUACUUUAAUCCUCAGGGCACGCAGGCGAGUGAGGAGAGUGAGGCCAAGUUUGCACCCUCAUAUUUCAGGUGCAUCAUUUCCAUGGCAGUUAAUGAGGUAGUAUGCUGACACGGCGAGUCCGUUCUGUCCAUCGUCAUCAUUGCACUCACCAAAGGGAGCAGACUAUGUCUCCUUUCUGAGAAAUUCUGUGAUUUUUCUUUUUCGACUUUUCUUUCCAGCCUCAGAAUCUAGAACAUUCUGACAGGUGGAGAUGUAGACCAAGCAGGAGAAAAGCUUCAGUCUGAUUGCCAUUGUGUGCCAUGACUGGCCUGGUCUUGACUGAUAAGACCGCUAUACUAAUGAGGAGGAGUGAAAAAUCAGUGUUUUGAAGAAGUAAUAGUAAGUGUAAGCCAUGACCUAAUCAAGUAUAGUUUGAGGGGAAAUUCCCUGAAGUGAGAAGUUUAAAGACUCUGUCUAGUUAAUCUAAUUCUGGCCACUAACACUGUGUGGCGCUGUUCUGUUGCACAAACACUUGAAACUCAUCAUUUGUAAUUCAGCUGAAACACUUUGUGGAAAUGAGCAGGUAUUGUUUACUUCUGUGAAUACUGGUGGCUGGAUAUUUUUACAGGAUCAGUAAAUGGCAUGGAAAUACUCAACUUUAAUACAAAUCACAACAUAAUUGCAUGUUCCUUGGUAUAUAAAACACUUUGCCAAGCACUAGAAAACCAGCACUCCUUUUAAAUACAAGUCCAGAGAAAUUUCUUGAUGGACCAGAGCUCUGGCUGUCUUUUACUGCACUGCAGUACGGCACCUACUGUUGUGAACCUAUCUGCACCAACUUUGGCCAUGUCUCGAGUCCAAAUCUUUCUGUUCAACUGUUGUUCUUCAUGUUCCACCUUCAAGGCCCAGCUUCAAACCUCAACAUUCGCAAUCUUCUCAUACCAGUUACAGGAACUGCUUUAUCCUGGUCAGGGUGGGUCUGGAGUCAAUGCUGGGAACACCAUAAUACACCCUUGAUGGGAUGCCAGCACAUCAUGUAGCACCACAGCAGCAAUUUCUCACACCCUGUCCAGCUACUAGGUGGUGGAGGGGAGACUGAGAAAAUCCCACAAAGAAUCGGAGGACAGAAACAGGGACCAUAGAGACUCAUCCUGACACUUAGUACAGUGAAACACAUUACUGUUACCUGCGGUUGGAUAAACCAUUUGAAUAUUACAUUACUGAAAGUUAC